UCGGGAAUUUUGGGCAAUGGGCGAAAGCCUGACCCAGCAACGCCGCGUGAAGGAUGAAGUAUUUCGGUAUGUAAACUUCGAAAGAAUAGGAAGAAUAAAUGACGGUACUAUUUAUAAGGUCCGGCUAACUACGUGCCAGCAGCCGCGGUAAUACGUAGGGACCAAGCGUUGUUCGGAUUUACUGGGCGUAAAGGGCGCGUAGGCGGCAAUUCAAGUCAUCUGUGAAAUCUCCGGGCUUAACUCGGAACGGUCAGAUGAUACUGCUUUGCUAGAGUGCAGAAGGGGCAAUCGGAAUUCUUGGUGUAGCGGUGAAAUGCGUAGAUAUCAAGAGGAACACCUGUGGCGAAGGCGGCCACCUGGUUGGAUACUGACGCUGAGACGCGAAGGCGUGGGGAGCAAACAGGAUUAGAUACCCUCGUAGUCCCUGAGCGGGCUGGCAAGGCGCAU
rnacentral:rRNA from 1 species